rnacentral:misc_RNA from 1 species
GAUGAAGAACGCAGCGAAAUGCGAUAAGUAGUGUGAAUUGCAGAAUUCAGUGAAUCAUCGAAUCUUUGAACGCACAUUGCGCCCCUUGGUAUUCCAUGGGGCAUGCCUGUUCGAGCGUCAUUUGUACCUUCAAGCCUUGCUUGGUGUUGGGUGUUUGUCUCGCCACUGCGCGCAGACUCGCCUCAAAACAAUUGGCAGCCGGCGUAUUGAUUUCGGAGCGCAGUACAUCUCGCGCUUUGCACUCACAACGGCGGCGUCCAAAAGUACAUUUUUACACUCUUGACCUCGGAUCAGGUAGGGAUACCCGCUGAACUUAAGCAUAUCAAUAAGCGGAGGA